rnacentral:lncRNA from 1 species
UUGUUAUGAUAAGAAAAUGCUAGGUGACAUCUAGACUCUAGGUAUCAAGAUUUAUCUUUCAAUUAGUAUGACAAUAUUCAUUUGAUAUCUUGGACCUAUGUCACAAUUAUGCCAACAAGAGAUUGCAAAAUGAACUCUAAAUACAACACAAGUGUGGAACACCCCUUUGAAAAGGUAAAACGCAAAGGUACAUCACUUAUGACACUUCUCCAUUACCUUUGUGCCAUCUAAGGACCCUCUUCAUGAUAGUGUGUAACACUCCAGGUUCCACAAACAACCCGGAAUGCUACUGUACUACACUUCCGACGUCCAUAUAUAAAAUUUCGGCAGCAUCCCCUUUGCAAGAUAGCAUAAAAGAGGGGGCAACAGAGUAUAAACAUAUAUCAUGACUAAAACAUACUAAGUAUUAUUAAUCGGCUAGCAAGGAAAGAUAAACAUACGACCUGAACUGAAUUAACCAGUGCGCAUGACCAUAUAAAAAAAAUGAACAAACUUCCUUUGACAAUAAGUUUCUAAUUAAAUCAUGGCUGCGCCUGGGCAGCGUUAUUGUGAGAGUGAAAGUGGACGUGCUGCUACUCCCCUCAUUCCCAACAUGUAUCAAGUACCUGCAUUGAGUAAUGCAAGAGUGAGAUGACACAUCUCAGCAAGUAAAAUAAUAUCAAACAGUUUAACCACAUAAGAACAUUGUUUUACCACCACUUGAUUCCACAACCUUCCUAUUACGAAGGUGCAACACGUACACAACGUACAACGCACCUAGUUACCACACCUCGCAGGUAGAAACCACAAUAGUAACAUAGUAAUGUCACACUUCAUAUAUUCCUCAUGAGUGCAAAUGUCUGCAAAUGCAAGGAUGACUUCUGCCUUCAUACCUCUAAGGAUAUGAAGCCGCAUCGUACCCCUCCUCGGGCAACGUACGAUGCUAAAAAUGUACCGGUACGGUCGGACCAUAAGAUCACGACAUAACUUCAAAAUGCAAGAUGGAUGAUGCGAUGUGCAUGUCAUGCCUACAACACUUCAUAUAACAUGAUUCAAAAGACACUUCAACUUCAUCCAGAUGGGAAUCAACCACAUAUAUCAUUACCAAAUUAUGAUCAUCCACAAUAUUAGACAAUUGAGAAUUAAUACUUCCAAACAAAUAAACUUCAUCAUAGAAUUCAUUGAUUAACAUAAUUAAAACUUAUGCAUACUCAAUGACAGGGAAUAGGAUGCAAACCAAACGGUAGCAACCACCACUGUAUUUACUUGCCUUUACCGGAAGUUCGGGCAAAUCCCUAAGUACGAUCCGGAAGUCCACCACCUGUUUUUGACACCCAACUUAGUACACCAAUUUCACAAAAUCAGGCUCAUAAGCGACGCCGCACCUACGCACAAACUCAAACCCCGCCGCGGGUUACAUCUCUCCCUACACCCACCAAACUGCAGCGACGCUGCUUAAUAAUUUCAUAACUUUAAAAUUAUGACAGCAGUGGUAACAAACAAAAACUCCAGAGGCAUCUACAUAAAAUUCCCCACAAGUUUUGUAUACAAUUUAUAAUUAAAUUCCAAUAUCUAAUUAGCCCAAAACAGUCCACAAGAUGAACCCUGUAAUCUGUUUUUCUUUGUCUUUUGGACAGCGACAUACCCCGAUUCAAACAGCGAUAUCUUUUAAAAUAUAAUUCCAAAUCAAGCGCAUAAGUACUCAUUGGAAAGAUAAGACAAAUCCCUACAUGAUUAUCAUACUGGUUAACACUAAUUACCCACGAAAAAUUCCCAGAAACUGCUAAUACCACUGCUGUUCACCCACCUGAAAAAUCUGUUUUAUUGGACAGCAACAUAACCGGAUUCAAACAACGAUAUCUCCUGAAUUAUAACUCCGAAUCGAGCGCAUAAGUACUUGUUGGAAAGAUAACAUAAAGCCCUACAUGAUUCUCAUACUGAUUAACACUAAUUACUCCCGAAAAAUUCCCAGAAACUGCUAAUACUGCUGCUGUUCAUCCCCCUGAAAAUCUGUUUUUUUGGACAGCCACAUACCCGGAUUCAAACGGUGAUAACUUUCAAUUUAUAACUCCAAAUUGAGCGCAUAAAUACUCGUUGGAAAGGUAAGGUAAAGUUCUACAUGAUCCCCAAACUGAUUUCCCUUAAUUCCUCACGAAAAAACACAGAAACUGCUAGACUACUGCUGUUCACCCACCACCUAAAAUUCUGGACAACCCCCUCUACCCAAUCGCAAACGCAACCUCUAAUCAAUUAAAUUGCAGCGCAAAUGAACAAGGAAUGAACACAAAAAUCACCUUGAAUUCUCCCCCUUUCCUUCCUCCCUUCUUCCCUCCACCAAAACGAUUGAAGACUCGCACCACGACGACGAUGAUCCGAGCGGCAAGGAUUGGCACCUUGGGAGGAGGGGAUUGGGGGGGGGCGGCUAGGGUUUGGUCGCUGCAAAAAUUGAGAGAGGAAGAGAUGGGCAGGGGGGCGG